rnacentral:rRNA from 1 species
AGCUGCUACGGCAGUGAAGUCAUUGAUGCCAUGCUUCCAGGAAAAGCCUCUAAGCUUCAGAUAGUCAGGAAUCGUACCCCAAACCGACACAGGUGGUCGGGUAGAGAAUACCAAGGCGCUUGAGAGAACUCGGGUGAAGGAACUAGGCAAAAUGGUACCGUAACUUCGGGAGAAGGUACGCUCUUGAUGGUGAAGUCCCUCGCGGAUGGAGCUGACGAGAGUCGCAGAUACCAGGUGGCUGCAACUGUUUAUUAAAAACACAGCACUGUGCAAAAUCGCAAGAUGACGUAUACGGUGUGACGCCUGCCCGGUGCCGGAAGGUUAAUUGAUGGGGUUAGCGCAAGCGAAGCUCUUGAUCGAAGCCCCGGUAAACGGCGGCCGUAACUAUAACGGUCCUAAGGUAGCGAAAUUCCUUGUCGGGUAAGUUCCGACCUGCACGAAUGGCGUAAUGAUGGCCACGCUGUCUCCACCCGAGACUCAGUGAAAUUGAAAUCGCUGUGAAGAUGCAGUGUACCCGCGGCUAGACGGAAAGACCCCGUGAACCUUUACUACAGCUUGGCACUGAACAUUGAACCUACAUGUGUAGGAUAGGUGGGAGGCUAUGAAGACGUGACGCCAGUUGCGUUGGAGCCGUCCUUGAAAUACCACCCUUGUAUGUUUGAUGUUCUAACUUAGACCCGUUAUCCGGGUUGAGGACAGUGCCUGGUGGGUAGUUUGACUGGGGCGGUCUCCUCCCAAAGAGUAACGGAGGAGCACGAAGGUGGGCUAAUCACGGUUGGACAUCGUGAGGUUAGUGCAAUGGCAUAAGCCCGCUUAACUGCGAGAAUGACGGUUCGAGCAGGUGCGAAAGCAGGUCAUAGUGAUCCGGUGGUUCUGUAUGGAAGGGCCAUCGCUCAACGGAUAAAAGGUACUCCGGGGAUAACAGGCUGAUACCGCCCAAGAGUUCAUAUCGACGGCGGUGUUUGGCACCUCGAUGUCGGCUCAUCACAUCCUGGGGCUGAAGUCGGUCCCAAGGGUAUGGCUGUUCGCCAUUUAAAGUGGUACGCGAGCUGGGUUUAGAACGUCGUGAGACAGUUCGGUCCCUAUCUGCCGUGGGCGUUGGAAGAUUGAAGGGGGCUGCUCCUAGUACGAGAGGACCGGAGUGGACGAACCUCUGGUGUUCGGGUUGUGUCGCCAGACGCAUUGCCCGGUAGCUAAGUUCGGAAUUGAUAAGCGCUGAAAGCAUCUAAGCGCGAAGCGAGCCCUGAGAUG